AGAGUUUGAUCCUGGCUCAGGAUGAACGCUGGCGGCGUGCUUAACACAUGCAAGUCGAGCGAAUGAGUCUCUUCGGAAACGAGUUAGCGGCGGACGGGUGAGUAACGUGUGGGUAACCUGCCAUAUACUGUGGAAUAAUCAUUGGAAACGAUGACUAAUACCGCAUGUGAUCACGAGGAGGCAUCUUCUUGUGAAGAAAGGGCUUUUAGCUCGGUAUAUGAUGGACCCGCAUCUGAUUAGCUAGUUGGUGAGAUAACAGCUCACCAAGGCGACGAUCAGUAGCCGACCUGAGAGGGUGAUCGGCCACAUUGGGACUGAGACACGGCCCAAACUCCUACGGGAGGCAGCAGUGGGGAAUAUUGCACAAUGGGGGAAACCCUGAUGCAGCAACGCCGCGUGAAGGAUGAAGGGUUUCGGCUCGUAAACUUCUAUCGAUGGGGAAGAAAAAAAUGACGGUACCCAAAUAAGAAGCACCGGCUAAAUACGUGCCAGCAGCCGCGGUAAUACGUAUGGUGCAAGCGUUAUCCGGAAUUACUGGGUGUAAAGGGAGCGUAGGCGGUAUGGUAAGCCAGAUGUGAAAGCCCGAAGCUUAACUUCGAGGAUUGCAUUUGGAACUACCAAACUAGAGUACAGGAGAGGUAAGUGGAAUUCCUAGUGUAGCGGUGAAAUGCGUAGAUAUUAGGAAGAACACCAGUGGCGAAGGCGACUUACUGGACUGAAACUGACGCUGAGGCUCGAAAGCGUGGGGAGCGAACAGGAUUAGAUACCCUGGUAGUCCACGCCGUGAACGAUGAGUGCUAGGUGUCGGAGGGGAACCUUCGGUGCCGCAGCUAACGCAAUAAGCACUCCACCUGGGGAGUACGAUCGCAAGAUUGAAACUCAAAGGAAUUGACGGGGGCCCGCACAAGCGGUGGAGCAUGUGGUUUAAUUCGAAGCAACGCGAAGAACCUUACCAAGGCUUGACAUCCCGAUGACCGGUGUAGAGAUACACUUUUUCUUCGGAACAUCGGUGACAGGUGGUGCAUGGUUGUCGUCAGCUCGUGUCGUGAGAUGUUGGGUUAAGUCCCGCAACGAGCGCAACCCCUAUCUUCAGUAGCCAUCAUUAAGUUGGGCACUCUGGAGAGACUGCCGUGGGAUAACACGGAGGAAAGGUGGGGGAUGACGUCAAAUCAUCAUGCCCCCUUAUGUCUUGGGGCUACACACGUGCUACAAUGGCUAAUACAAAGAGAAGCGAGACGGUGACGUUAAGCAAACCUCAAAAAGUUAGUCCCAGUUCGGAUUGUAGGCUGCAACUCGCCUACAUGAAGCUGGAAUCGCUAGUAAUCGCGAAUCAGAAUGUCGCGGUGAAUACGUUCCCGGGCCUUGUACACACCGCCCGUCACACCACGGGAGUUGGAAGCACCCGAAGUCCAUGACCUGACCGUAAGGAGGGAGUGGCCGAAGGUGAAGCCAGUGACUGGGGUGAAGUCGUAACAAGGUAACCGUAA
rnacentral:rRNA from 1 species